rnacentral:rRNA from 1 species
AUACGUAGGUGGCAAGCGUUGUCCGGAAUUACUGGGCGUAAAGGGCGCGUAGGCGGUACCCUAAGUCAGAUGUGAAAACCCGGAGCUUAACUUCGGAACUGCAUUUGAAACUGGGGAACUCGAGUGUCGGAGAGGAAAGCGGAAUUCCUAGUGUAGCGGUGAAAUGCGUAGAUAUUAGGAGGAACACCAGUGGCGAAGGCGGCUUUCUGGACGAUAACUGACGCUGAGGCGCGAAAGCGUGGGGAGCAAACAGGAUUAGAUACCCUGGUAGUCCACGCUGUAAACGAUGGAUACUAGGUGUGGGAGGUAUCGAACCCUUCCGUGCCGCAGUAAACGCAAUAAGUAUCCCGCCUGGGGAGUACGGCCGCAAGGUUGAA